rnacentral:lncRNA from 1 species
ACACACGCUCUCUGUACUGUUUGGGAUCUUGCGUGUGGAGCUGGAUUGGAGCCGAAGGAGCUGCAGGGUCGAUAGUAAUUAAGAUUUCUCCAUAGACUGAGAGUGAAGUGCUGAACCAAGUGGAGAUAAUGGAGCUUUCUUUAGCAGCAGUGCUCUGCUCUUCCUUCUUAGUUCCAGCUCUGGGGUCAGCUUUUGGCAGGGAAAUGCCAGGUAAGUGUGCUGAGGCUCAGAUGUGGAAAAUGAGAUUUGUUCAUGUGUGUAAGGAAUGCAUUUCUUUACGUUUUUGGCUCUUUUUUUAAUUAUUUUUUGCUGGUUGUGUUGAAGCUUUGCGUGACAGUUUUGUUUCGCUUCUGCCUCUGAGGGAAUCCGCUCUGUGGUUCUGUGCUCUCCCUCAGGGUAUGCAAAAAUGCUGAAAAGUUAGUUUCUGUGCUGCAGGUUCUUCUAAUCUUACAGAAACUGCAGUAUUCCACAGUUUCACGGCUACUGAAGGUUUUGUGAAUAAUUGUAGACCUUUGCGGAAUGGCAUGAAGAAGCUGAGAAAUAGGAGUGGAAAUGAGCUCAGAUGACAUUAUGAUCGGGAGAUUGCUGGUUCGAAUCCCGAUUAUGCAGCUUGCCAUCAGCUGCCCGAGCCCUGAGAGAGCACAAAUGUCCUUGCUCUCUCUGGGUGGGUAGAUGGUGCUCUUUCCUCUCAUCACUCCUAGGGUGAUGUGGAUCGUGAGCUGAUGUAUCAGAACCGAGUCGCUGCGCUUUCCUCCGAGCGUUAGCGCUGUGAUGCUACGCAGUAAUGCUGCACCAGCAGCAGUUUGAGGAAAAAUGGUGGAAGAAAUUUGAAAUAAAUAAAUAAAAAAAUACA